GACACGCAGGGCCCGGGCUCGGGGCUGAGGGGCGGGCGGAGGCUGCGGCCCAACCAAGAGCGGCUCUCGCUCCGCGCUUUUUCCCGCGGGCCGCUGAUGGCCGGACGCGUCCUGGGGAAGACGUUAGCCACCGUGUCUCUCUCUGUGGCCUUGGCCUCUGUGACGCUCAAGUCCUUGGGCUGUUGCAGCCUCACGACGUGCAGGAAGACUGAGUGAGUGUGGGCUCCAUGUACCAGUGGACAUAGACAGGAAGGUUUCAGGUGAGCAGAAACUCGUUUUUAUCCUGUGGGUUUCAUCUUUGCUCCAACAUGAUGUCUGGCUCUAAUGGCACCAAAGAGAAUUCCCACAACAAGGCCAGGACAUCGCCUUACCCAGGCUCAAAAGUUCACCGCAGCCAGGUUCCUAAUGAGAAGGUAGGCUGGCUUGUCGAGUGGCAAGAUUAUAAUCCUGUGGAAUACACUGCAGUCUCUGUCUUGGCUGGACCUAGAUGGGCAGAUCCUCAGAUCAGUGAAAGCAACUUUUCUCCCAAGUUUAAUGAAAAAGAUGGACCUAUUGAGAGAAAGAGCCAAAAUGGCCUAUAUGAGGUUGAAAAUGGAAGACCUCGAAAUCCUGCAGGACGAACAGGACUGGUUGGUCGGGGGCUUUUGGGGCGAUGGGGCCCCAAUCAUGCUGCAGAUCCCAUCAUAACAAGGUGGAAAAGGGACAGAAGUGGAAAUAAAAUCGCCCACCCCGUUUCUGGGAAAAACAUCUUACAGUUUGUUGCAAUAAAAAGAAAAGACUGUGGAGAAUGGGCAAUCCCAGGGGGGAUGGUGGAUCCAGGAGAGAAAAUUAGUGCCACGUUGAAAAGAGAAUUUGUUGAGGAAGCUCUCAACUCAUUACAGAAGUCCAGUGCUGAGAAGAGAGAAUUAGAGAAACAGUUGCACAAACUCUUCAGCCAGGAACAUCUAGUGAUCUAUAAGGGAUAUGUUGAUGAUCCUCGAAACACUGAUAACGCAUGGAUGGAGACGGAGGCCGUGAACUACCACGAUGAAACAGGUGAGAUAAUGGAGAACCUUACCCUAGAAGCUGGAGAUGAUGCUGGAAAAGUGAAAUGGGUGGAUAUCAAUGAUAAACUCAAGCUUUAUGCUAGUCACUCUCAAUUCAUCAAACUUGUGGCUGAGAAACGAGAUGCACACUGGAGUGAGAACCCUGAAACUGACUGCCAAGAGUUAUAGUUCGCAAAUCUCCAUGUAAAUCAAAGGCCAGCAAGAGAGCACGUACUGAAAAGAAGGCAGUAUCACAGAACUCAUAUAUAAUUUUCAUUGGAACAUUUACAAAGUAUGCAAAAUGAUCAAACUGCUACACACUAGAGAUGGGUAGAAGUGGAUAAUCUUCUAACUCUGAAUACUGAUAAAUUGAACCAUCAACUGUCUUCUCUGCAGCAUAGAGCUUCACUUCUCCCAUUUCACCUUUAAUGGCCUGAUAGGAGCAUGUAAAGUGACAAACACUAAAUAAGCACUUUGGGGCAAUGAUACUUGUUAGAAGGGAAACUUGGGUGAAAUCCAAUUUCUUUCUCAAAAUUAAGAUUGAGAACAUUUUGAUUCAUCAGCUUCUCUCAGGUAGGUUAAAAAUAAAUGCAUACUGUAUGUAACUUUAAUUGCCAUUACUUCAGGUAUUGAAAAAAGGAAUUUACCUUUUUGGUUUGUGUGUCUCUCUCAUAUAUUUUAAAUGAAAGCAAACUUGGAUGAGAAUCAAAGUAGAAAUCUCAGGGUUUGUAGCCUCGCCAUCAAAAGAGCUCAUGCUUCUGUCUUAAGGAGAUUUUUUAACCUAAUACAGUUACUUAUGGGAACUGAAGUUUUGUCAAAUACUAUGGGCAUUGUGAAAAGAAUUCAUUUUUAAACCUGCAGAAAUUCUGAUAUACAAAUCUUAGAGGAAAUUAAGUUUAUACCUCAUGAGCUUUAAUUUGGGUAGAUCAACUGGGUUCCAUUCUGGCAUAUGCUUUUAUGGUUCAGAAGGAUUAUUCUUACCUUUUCUGAGAUUAAAUAUCACUUUUAUCAAUAUAAUCAUAGAAAAAAGUCUUAUCCCAAAGAAGCCCUAAAAAUAAAAAUAUUAAUAAGAUAUUAUCUUCAGUCCAUUAAGUAGAUUUAUAGUUUAUAAUAGCUGAAAAAUUAAUAUGGACUUACCCCAAGUUGGUUCAAAACAGAAAUGAUUAACUAUGAAGGAAGAAAAAAAUCAAUGAUAGUGACAUCAGUGGGUUUACUCUUUAGCUUAGUUUUUCUGUGUGUGUGUGUCUUUUUUGUCCUUUUUAGGGCCGCACCCGCGGCAUAUGGAGGUUCCCAGGCCAGGGGUCCAAUCGGAGCUGUUGCUGCCAGCCUACGCCACAGCCACAGCAACGCCAGAUCCGAGCUGCGUCUGUGACCUACACCACAGCUCAUGGCAACGCCAGAUCCUUAACCCACUGAGCGAGGCCAGGGAUUGAACCCGCAGUCUCACAGUUCCUAGUCGGGUUUUGUUUCCGCUGCGCCAUGACGGGAAUGCCAGCUUAUUUUUAACUUAGUACAUACAUUAGCUAAAAUAUUUUCAAUAUGAAAACCUUUGUUUUUAUUGAAAAAGCAAUUCCACUUUACUGCUUAGUAUUUUAUUUGCAUGACUUUAAAAUGAAUAUGAAAUAUCUAGAUUUAAAUUCCCUUAAUACACAGGAAUAUUUUCUUGUAACUGCCUGUAAUGGUACUCACCAUGCCUGAAAUAUAAAAAAAAAUUGAUGUGAAUGGUUAAGAAACUCGCUGUGUACGCUUCCACCCAAGUGCUGUCUUUCAUAAAUUUUGCGAAUUCCCUAUUUGAAUGAUACUUGAACCAAAAUUUUAGGACAGCUAUGAUUUUGUUUCGAGGGUUUGCUUGCAUAAGCAGUUUCACUGGAAAAGUAUUGCUUUGUAGCUUCCAUGUGGUCCUAUUUUUAGAGGCGGGCAGCUUGUUCAGAAUAUUGACCACUGUCAAAAAGAUGGAUCCCUCUAUUUUUCGAGCAGAGUCCAUCCCAGCAUAUGUGCAAGAAUAGGUAAGCUAAAGCUCUCACUGGUCUUAGGCAAGGACAUUGCCCCAAGAUAGCAUUUGUUCUCUUCGGAUGCCUUUUCCUAUUUCCCGACUUGCUUUAUUUUAUUUCUAAAUGAAUUGGACUAAUAGAGAUGGUCAUUUUUACGAUGAACUAGCUCAUCUUGUAAUAGGGUAUUGAAUGUAAUAUUUUUAUAAGCUUCAUAGAUUAACAAGGCAGAUGUAUUUACCGCUAUAAGAUCAUUAAGUGUCGGCACCUGGAAUAAAGGAAACACAAUCAAAUAAUCAAAGAGCUGUAAUUCAGUAUUUUAUCUAUCUUUUCUAUUUUAUACAUUUUAUAUCAGUUUGAUUAAUAAAAAGCAUGCUUUUUAGAAUUUUCAGCAUUUAUAAAAUUAGGUCAGUAAGAUUGACAUUCACUAAUACCUACCCCUUGGUACCCAUCCCCUCUUCAAACCUACUAUCACUGGAAACAUGUAAUCUGCAUUUUUCUUUCGUGGACUCCAAACACAGGAGCUUUUUGGAAAGAUCUUUAAACUUACACAUACAGGAUUGGAAAAAAGACUGUAUUUGGACAUCACUUCUUUUUAUUUUAUUUUAUUUUUUUUGUCUUUUGUCUUUUUAGGGAGACGCACCCGAGGCAUAUGGAGGUUCCCAGCUAGGGGUCCAGUCACAGCUGUAGCUGCCGGCCUAUACCACAGCCACAGCAAUGCCAGAUCCAAGCCUAGUCUGUGACCUACACCACAGCUCAUGGCAACACCGGAUCCUUAACCCACUGAGCAAGGCCAGGGAUCGAACCCAAAACCUCAUGGUUCCUAGUCGGAUUCGUUAACCACUGCCGCACGAUGGGAACUCCGGGUAUCACUUCUUUAGGAAAAAACUUUAAUAAUAUCACAUCCUAUAAUUGUAAUAGAAGUAUCAUUAAAAACUUGAAGUUAAUAUGCUACAUUAUAAUUUAUUUUUUGGUUUAUUUAUCUCUUCCUAUGUUAUUUUCCCUCAUUCAGUAAAAUCUUGUCAAAAUAAAAUUUAAAUCAUCCUUUGAUACCAUGACCAUAACCUUAAAUAUAGUUCAUAGGCUUCUGGGACAGAUUCCAUUUCGAUAAGAAUGCGUUUCCCCCUCACUAAUGGUAAAUGUAAGCAUAAAAUUUUAGAGGUGAAAUGGACUUUAUAAAUCAUUCAUUUUUACUUUUUUACAUUCUAAAAGAAAGUUAGGUAUAAAGGAUUUAAUGUAAGCUUCUACUCCAAGUUAAUGUGAAGAAAGUUAGGUAUAAGGGAGUUAAUGGAAGCUUCUACUCCAAGGAGUUAAUGUAAGCUUCUAUUCAGUGACAGAGCUUGCAUCUCCUGAUUAUUUGACUUCAAAUGUUUUUUCCUACUGAUCUCCUGGGUUCCCUCCACACAAUCAAGGAAAGUUUCAGGUUUUAGGUAGUUCAGUUUUCAAGGAUAUGCGACAUUUGUACCUUAAGUGAUUCAAAUAAGACAAAAUAAUGGUUCUCAUUAUUUUUGGUAAUAAUGAGAUAAUAAUUACUUUUGGUAUCAAAUUCCUUUCCAAAUCUAAAGAAUUUUCAAGUUUUGUCUUGUAUUCAUUUAAAUACUUUCUUACAGGAAACUUUGUAAUUACCUGAUUUGGAUUAUUGGGAAUUGGAAAAGGAAUAGGAAUUGUAAUCUGCAAAAAAGGGGAAAAAAGUGAACUGUGAAUAAUAAGCUUUUUUCUCAUUUAUUCAUGCCCUCAGCCAUCCAUUCACCCAUCCAUCCAGUAUUUAUUGAGCUAUUAUGUGUUCUCAGGGACUCCACUUUCUAGUUGGUGGAGAUGAGAUUCCAGUGGAUUUCAAAUAAUUUUUUUCUAAGAUGUAUUUUUCUUAUUUUGCUUAGUCAGUCGUUAAGUGCAACAAUCUCAUGUGUGUUGAUAGUUCUUGCAAAUCCUUCAGUUUCUCUGUAGUAGCUCAUUCUUUUGCCUGAUUUUUAGUACCAUUCUGCCAUCUGGUGGAAGGAAGAGAGAGCUUCUGUUUCAAAUACUAGUGAUUUUUUAAAUUGCCGCAUAGAUUUACAUAAUUUGAAACAUAAAGAUGUUAAUAGUGAUUCUUAAAUUCUAAUUAUAAACCAAGGCUCCAGGAUUUUGCAUUAAUGUAAAACAAGUCUUACUGGAUUUCAGCCGGAAAAAAAAAAAAAGGGCACCACCUAGCCCUGACUCAACCAAAAUGUUAGGAAGUAAUUAUAAAUGCAAGAGCAUAGAAAUUUAGUGUCUAAGGGUCAGUUAGUCCAUGUGAAAACAUUAAAGAGAAAGACUGUUCCACUGAGGACUGUAACUUUGGUGGCAAUUUCCAAAAGCCUACUUAAGGUUGAGAAAUAAGUAGUUCAAAACUAAAUAUAAGCAAAGGGAAAGUGUUUGUUACAUUUAGAUAAUAGAAAUAAUGCAAAAUUGUGUUAAUGUUUUUAAAAUAUUUAGGUGAUAGACAAGAAGUUAAACAAGAGGAUAUUUUAUUUUAUUUUAUUUUUUUUGUCUUUUUGCCAUUUCUUGGGCCACUCCUGCGCAUAUGGAGGUUCCCGGGCUAGGGGUUGAAUCGGAGCUGCAGCUGCCAGCCUACGCCAGAGCCACAGCAACAUGGGAUCCGAGCCGGGUCUGCGACCUACACCACAGCUCACGGCAACGCCGGAACCUUGACCCACUGAGCAAGGGCAGGGAUCGAACCCUCAAUCUCAUGGUUCCUAGUUGGAUUUGUUAACCACUGCGCCACGAUGGGAACUCCAAGAGGAUAUUUUAAAAUGUCUAUGAACCUUCCAAAACACCACUGCCUAAAUACUGUUUAUUUAACAUGUCCCAACCUGUGUUGCAGCCUGAUUGCCCUGGUCAUUCUUUCCCUGGAUUGCCCUGUCCUUCUCAGCCCUUGUUGUUCCCUCCGCCUGGAGUGCUCCCCCCGCACUACCUGGCUGGGACACCCUUCCUCUGUGAAUGAAGUCUUUGACACAUAGCCUGAGUCAGCUGGUUUUGUAUUUGCCUCUAGAAGCACUUAUCAAAUCGCAUCGUUUUUUCCUUUGUGAAUCUCUCUUCCUCAUCAGAUUCCUAAAUGUAUUCAUACUCUUUGGAUUUCCAGCAGUCACAAUAGAUCCCAUUACAUAGUCGAUACUCAGUGAAUAUUAACCAAAUGAAUUCUGUCUGUACUAAUAAAGGCAACUCUAUUAUGUA